rnacentral:lncRNA from 1 species
UUUCCACAUAGUAGUAUAUGUGACUUUGUAGCUUAGAAUUGUGUGCAAAAAUCUACAUCAGUUCAUGCACCCCCAUAGCCUGUAAAACCUGCACAUGAUGCAAAAAAAGAAGUUUGAGAAAAAAUGAACCAACGCUAGCUUGUAUUUGUGCAACUUAACGAGUACAAGUGUGCAACCGACAACACUCCCAUAUCCAUCCACUUAUGGGGUUUGAAUUUCAUUAGUUGGCAUCUUCAACUCAUAUAAAAGUAAAAGAUGCCAACUCAGAUAAUUUCAGAUUCAUUUUGGUUUUAGCUAAAAAUCUGUAUGCAGAAUUUCAAAAAUAAACUUUAUGUUGGCUGUUGUGCAACUACAUCAUCUAUUUUGUGCAACUGCAAGUACUCCUGCAUGCAAAUCAUGUUGCGUGUUUAUGCAACUAUGUAUUGAAUUUUGAACUGAGGAACAUGAUGAAUUUAGCCUAUCUAAACACAAGAAAAUAGAUAAAAUAGUGAAUUUAAUAGAUUAUAAUCUUCCAAAUAAGUAGUGCAACUAUAGUCAAGUGCAUUUGCAAACCUAGAAAAUUAUAUGCAUGUGAACACAUGAGGAUGCCAACUACUGAAUGGUUCUUGUGCAACUAAAGAAGUUGAAGAUGCCAACUCACGUGGCACUGUUGCGCAACUAUUAAAAAAUUGAUGAUGCCAACUCCCUUAUGCAACUAAAAUAGUUGCGGAUGCCAACUCAUGCGAUAUUGUUAUGUGACUAUUCAAAAAGUUAAGACUGCCAACUCCCAAAUGGUUCUGGUGCUACUAUGAAAGUCGAGGAUGCCAACUCGUGUGAUACUGUUGUGCAACUAUUUGAAAACUUGAGGAUACCAACUCUUAAUUGAUUUUUGUACAACUAUAAAAGUUUCAGGAUGCCAACACCUAGCUGGUUCUUGUGCAACUGCGUAAAAAAUAAUAUCCCAGGUUUCUUUUUGUAGGAAAAAAAUCCUAAUGCCAUUUUAUGUUACCUCGGCAGCUGCUGCAGACGAUGUGCCAACUCCAGCUACAACUCCAACCUGCGUGGUCGCCUUCCGUUUCCGCCGUUUCACGAAGAGGAAUGGGUCACCAACCUAAAGGAUGCAUGGAAAAAGUAACUUGUGUGUGUGUCCAAAAAAGGGAAAUGCACCCUCACUGCUUCCUCGAUACCCCUAUUUUUGAGUCAAACGAAUAGUCACGACUAGUCGAUGAGUCGUAACUAGAAGUCGACUCAGACACCUCGACUAGAUCGGCACGGCAUGACUCGUCAAGAGUCGCUACCCCAGAAGGACUUGUCGAGUCGAAAACUUUGCACGAUAUUUACCUCAUCAUCCUCUGCCUCCCCAUCGACUUGGGGGCUGUUUCGAGUUCCACCGAGAAGAAUUGUUUACAGGCCC